rnacentral:rRNA from 1 species
CCUACGGGGUGCAGCAGUGGGGGAUAUUGCACAAUGGGGGGAACCCUGAUGCAGCGACGCCGCGUGGGUGAAGGAGCGUUUCGGCGCGUAAAGCCCUAUCGGCAGGGAAGAAGAUGACGGUACCUGGCCAAGAAGCCCCGGCUAACUACGUGCCAGCAGCCACGGUAAUACGUAGGGGGCAAGCGUUAUCCGGAUUUACUGGGUGUAAAGGGGGCGCAGACGGCAAUGCAAGCCUGGAGUGAAAGCCCGGGGCCCAACCCCGGGACUGCUCUUGGAACUGCAUGGCUGGAGUACAGGAGGGGCAGGCGGAAUUCCUAGUGUAGCGGUGAAAUGCGUAGAUAUUAGGAGGAACACCGGUGGCGAAGGCGGCCUGCUGGACUGUGACUGACGUUGAGGCCCGAAGGCGUGGGGAGCAAACAGGAUUAGAUACCCGAGUAGUC